CAAAUUUUCCCAUGUAAUCAACCACUGUAUAUAAUGAUUAUAUAUAUAAUGAUAGUCCUCCCUGAGCUAAGACAAAAUAAAUACCUUGCCAAGCAUGCAUGCACAGAUUUAUUCAAAACUUGAAUCCAUUUGUAGAAGGUGCCUCUCAUCAUAGUAAUCAUAUACAGUGUGGCGAAAGCUGUUUUACUUAUUCAGCAAUUAUUGUUGUGAUAAGUUUAGGAUCAUGCAGACAGCUGAAAAGUUACUGUAUUUAUUUUCUUUCAACACUAGUUUCCAUGAUCGGAUAUACAUCAACAACAAGACAACACGCACGCAGCUGAAGAUGUUUACUACAAAGAAGUGUAUAAGCCAGCAUGAAUUCACUUCUCUUCUAGAAUUACUACAUUUGCACGCACCAAGUUUGGUCAAACUUAUCACCACAAUAGCUAAAGAAGUCAACGAGGCUGAUACAGCUGUCUCCUGUUGCAAGCACUGGAUUAAUUUACUGCAAGCUCUCAGUUCAGCAUCACCUGUGUGUGCUUUGGUACCACCUACAGAAGAAGUGCACAAAAUGCUAAAGGAAAUGGAGUCUUCUGGCUCCUUGAAGUCAAAUGCAAAAAAGACGGCCUUUCUACAAAAGGAAGCUCCAGUACUAUUCACUUUAAUUGAAUGUCUUCCUUCUUACCCCACUGAAGCAUUGCAGCCUAUACUAAAAAGGCUUGUGGAAUUAUCAUUAGCCCCAUUUACGCAAGACUUCACAGAGUCUAGUACUGGUGACCACACUGACAUUAAUGAUGAUGAUAUGAUAUCGUACUUUCCAAAGCUUCCUUCACUAAGAAAACGAAAGAUUUAUAAGGCUGACAGUUCUAAAUCCUCUGUAUGUACAAAAAAAAGCUCAAGACAUCCAUCACUGCUACCGGGGAUAUUUACUCUGUAUUGUCAGCAUGGAAUUUGCUAUGGAUUCCAACUGAUGGAAGUUCAGGAAUCCCCCCAACAUUCCUUUCACUAUCUUAUAUGAACGAUUCUCAUCAGCACCUGAAGUCAUCAUAUACGACAAUAGUUGCAACCUGCACCAAUACUGCUUGAAUAGAGAGCCCCCCUUUUUCAGGCACAGUCGGUUUCUAGGUCUAGUAGAUCGUUUCCAUUGGCCAAAUCAUUCAGGAUGCAGUGUUGCUUACAAAAUGAGCACCUAUAGACAAUAAUGAUGCCUUGAACAGCCAGAUGGUAGAGCAAAGCAAUUCAUGCUUGAAGAGAAUCAAAUCGUCACUGUCGUAUAUGAAUAAAAGAAAUUUCCUCACACAUUGUGGAUUUUAUUUAUGGUAUCACAAUCAGAAAAAACUAUAAGUAUAAUGUACUCACAUGCAUGAUGGUCUUGUCAUGCACUUUUUGUUUUUACAACCAUGAAUUUAAAAUUGUGGCGUCACUUG